GCAGUGACCUACCAAAGUAGGCCGUGACUGGGGCAAAUUUUGUCUUUACCAUAUGGUUUCAAAUUGCACUAGUCCCGGCCUGCUGGAUAGGCCACGUG
rnacentral:pre_miRNA from 1 species